UAAAAAGUAAGUAGACAAAUGGGGAGAGAGAGAGGGAAGUGUUUGCAUCUCCAAGUUGAGUAUACUUAUAUCUUUCUGCAAGAAUUCAACUGCCUUAUAAUUAUUCUAAGGAAUUCAUUUCCAUUUGCUUUGGCCUGAGGUAAGAGAGAUUAGGACAUCAAGGGCUCAUUCCUUAAAACACACAAAUGACCAUGAAUUCUUCUUAUUGUUAGUCAAUCCAUAUUUUAUACUUCAUCAGAAGCAUCAACAGACUAAAGAGAUGAAGUUAGGUGAUGAUGAAAAUACUCAAGUUUCCAAAACAAGCAGCCCUUCUAACAAGAGUGAUGAUGAUGAUGAUGAUGAAGAUGAGGGUGAUGAGGAAGUUGAUGAAACUGGCAAGCCCAAGAACGCUGGAAGCUCAAGUAACAUCACAGUUGAAGACAGUAGUGAAAAGAAGUCAGCUUCUGGAUCCGUACGACAAUAUGUUCGUUCUAAGAUGCCACGGCUUCGCUGGACCCCUGAGCUCCAUCUUUGCUUUGUUCACGCAGUUGAAAGACUUGGAGGCCAAGAGAGAGCAACACCCAAGUUGGUACUUCAGCUAAUGAAUAUCAAGGGUCUUAGCAUUGCUCAUGUGAAAAGCCAUCUUCAGAUGUAUAGGAGCAAGAAGAUGGACGACCACAAUCGAGUUCCAAACCAAGGGAUUUUCAUGGAAAACGGAGAUCACAAUAUCUACAAUCUUAGCCAACUUCCCAUGCUACAAAAUUUCAAUCAAAGGCCUUCUGGCUUAAGAUAUGGUGAUAUCGAUGCUUCUUGGAGAGGUCAUGACAGCAAGAUUUAUAGCCCUUUCAUGGGUAGGGCUGCACUUGAUCGCACUAGAAAUGGACUAUAUGGUUCAGUCACUGACAAAAUAUUUGCAAGCAACAAUAGUAGUACUUCAGCAAAUUUCAAUCUACAUAAGCGUGAUUCAUCUUUCAAUGGACAAGCUACGUGGUCAACAAGGCAUCAAAAUUUGAAUGAGCUCAAGUGGUUUCAGGGAUCAAAGCAAAUCCCACUUAAACAAAGCUCAAUGGAAACCAACCUCAUAACUCAACUCCAAGAGAGAGGAACAGAUGAUCAAGGAAUUUAUUUGAACAAUUCUGGUUCUCCCUGGAGAAAAAUUCAAGAAGCGCAAAACACAAUGAAAAGGAAAGCUUUGGAUAACACAGAUCAUGGGGGUCUAGAUUUGAAUUUGUCUCUUAAAGCAGCACCAAACAAUAAUGAGUUUGAAAAGGGUUUGGGUGGUGAUGAUAAGGUUGUUAGUAGUUUGUCUCUUUCAUUGUCUUCAUCUUCACCCUCAAAAUUUGGCAGGUUGAAGGAAGGCAAUAGUCAUUCGAGGCAUUCGGGGACGACGAGUACUCUGGAUCUGACUUUAUGAAUGAGACAAUUCUAAGUAAGAUCUUGAAGUACUUGUCUUAGAGCAAAUGUAUUAAGCCAUUAUAUCAUGUAUCAGCAUAUAAGGUAAUGGUCACAACACUCUUUCUUCUUUUGUUGUUUUCAUUGUCUUGUAUACAAGAUAUAUGGCUAACUAGUAAGCUUCAGUUGGUGUGGAGGAAUAGAUGAAUACUUUUAGCAUUACAAAAUAUGCACAUUGGGUUAAUGAUUUUGUUUGAGCGCAAAAGACAGCUCCUAGAUGCUGGAAGUCUUUGCUUGAAUAUUAGCAAUUCCUCCAUCACACCAAGCGAGAAAAAAAUGAAAAAA